AUUUUAUAUUGCUAUAAACGCGUGUUCAGACCAAACUGAUUAUACGCCGCCGAAUGUGAGCAGGCUCACUGUGAGCCCCAGUGUGAACGUGAGUGAACGUGAAAAUAUACGGAAUCGAAUGUCCGCGCCUACGCCUAGCGUAAUGGCGUAUUGUCGGUUAG